UAAGACGUAGGGUCCAAGCGUUGUCCGGAUUUACUGGGCGUAAAGAGCGCGUAGGCGGCUCGUUAAGUGUGAAGUGAAAUCUCCAGGGCUCAACCCGGAAACUGCUUUACAUACUGGCGAGCUGGAGUGAUGCAGAGGUUUGUGGAAUUCCUGGUGUAACGGUGAAAUGUGUUGAUAUCAGGAGGAACACCCAUGGCGAAGGCAGCAAACUGGGCAUCAACUGACGCUGAGGCGCGAAAGCGUGGGUAGCAAACAGGAUUAGAUACCCUGGUAGUCCACGCCCUAAACGAUGGAUACUAGGCGUAAGAGGUAUCGACCCCUCUUGUGCCGCAGCUAACGCAUUAAGUAUCCCGCCUGGGGAGUACGGCCGCAAGGUUG
rnacentral:rRNA from 1 species